rnacentral:rRNA from 1 species
UUGAACGCUGGCGGCAGGCCUAACACAUGCCAGUCGCACGGUAACAGGAAGCAGCUUGCUGCUUUGCUGACGAGUGGCGGACGGGUGAGUAAUGUCUGGGAAACUGCCCGAUGGAGGGGGAUAACUACUGGAAACGGUAGCUAAUACCGCAUAACGUCGCAAGACCCAAGAGGGGGACCUUAGGGCCUCUUGCCAUCGGAUGUGCCCAGAUGGGAUUAGCUAGUAGGUGGGGUAACGGCUCACCUAGGCGACGAUCCCUAGCUGGUCUGAGAGGAUGACCAGCCACACUGGAACUGAGACACGGUCCAGACUCCUACGGGAGGCAGCAGUGGGGAAUAUUGCACAAUGGGCGCAAGCCUGAUGCAGCCAUGCCGCGUGUAUGAAGAAGGCCUUCGGGUUGUAAAGUACUUUCAGCGGGGAGGAAGGGAGUAAAGUUAAUACCUUUGCUCAUUGACGUUACCCGCAGAAGAAGCACCGGCUAACUCCGUG